GACGGGUGAGUAACACGUGGGCAACCUGCCCUGCAGAUCGGGAUAACUCCGGGAAACCGGUGCUAAUACCGAAUAGUUUUUUGCCCCUCCUGGGGCGGAACGGAAAGACGGUUUCGGCUGUCACUGCAGGAUGGGCCCGCGGCGCAUUAGCUAGUUGGUGGGGUAAUGGCCCACCAAGGCGACGAUGCGUAGCCGACCUGAGAGGGUGAUCGGCCACACUGGGACUGAGACACGGCCCAGACUCCUACGGGAGGCAGCAGUAGGGAAUCUUCCGCAAUGGACGAAAGUCUGACGGAGCAAUGCCGCGUGAGUGACGAAGGUUUUCGGAUCGUAAAACUCUGUUGUAAGGGAAGAACACGUGCCAGCUAACUACUGGCACCUUGACGGUACCUUACCAGAAAGCCACGGCUAACUACGUGCCAGCAGCCGCGGUAAUACGUAGGUGGCAAGCGUUGUCCGGAAUUAUUGGGCGUAAAGCGCGCGCAGGCGGUCCCUUAAGUCUGAUGUGAA
rnacentral:rRNA from 1 species